UAUUACAGAGGUUAAAAGAAAUCAUGUGGAAACACUAGCAAAAUAUAUCCAAUUUAGGCGGUUCAGAAAUCAGAACCAACCCGUACCUAGCCUUUGGUCUCAUACAAGCAUACAAGGCCGAUUUGGCCGGUUUAGAACCAGAGCAUGUCCAGGGCUAGAUGGGAGGCAAGAAAGUCCAACAGAAGAGGCGGGCAACUGGGCAAGCAACGAAGCCUUUGGCCGCCGUUGGCCAUGAAUAGCAAAGGACAAGUGACAAGCCAUGAUAACGGCAAGGUGGGCGGCACAGAAGGAAUUCGCAUGACGUCUGCCGCGGUACCACAGGCCCGCCAAAAUGGCUCUGUGGGACUGUGGCUUCCAGUUCACAAGCUCCAACGCGCGCACCUCCUGUUCGACGGAAUGACGCCGUGCUGGUCGCAUGAACUGGGCUAUCGGCUACCUUCCACUCAAGACCUCAGCAUUUCCAAUAGUGUACAGGCAGUGGUGCCUGGACUCUGGAGAAGACAUUGGUGUGUUUACUUCAGUUGGUGUUGCAGUAGGUAGCAUGGGCUAUCAUCUAUCAUUUCUCAUGUCUGAAGACAGAGUCCAAGCGUUCUUGAAGAGAGUUGAUGUAACUAUCAUCGUGGAUGUAUAUACAGGUGCAUCAUUUGAUCAUCUGGGUGCAGGCUUCGCUUCUCUGGGGAAGUAGUCGGCAGACUGAACAUAAGAUUUUCUUGCUACGAGACCAUUUGAUUCUCUUCCCUUUUAGGUUUACAGUUUAACAUAUAUGUAUGGGCUCCAGUAAUUGAUAACUCCGUUUCAGUCACAAUCACUGAAACAAACUGAUUGCUUUAAAGUGUAAACUCUGUAUCCAUUAAAUGCUUUUAAUAUUGAAAUUGCCAGCCUUUUAUUUUGAACAGGACAGCUGUUCAAAUAAUGGUCUGAUCGUUCUACUGAACUUUUUGCACAUGCCCAUUUACCUCUUAAUUCGUAGGGCAUGCCAAAAGCUUCUACAGUUAUACUUUCCACAGCAUUUUACAAUAAGCCAAUGUAUACGUAGGAUUCUGAGAGAGAUUUUAAUUACUUACU